UCGCCGGUAAUCCUUCAGAGAUGGAGAGUCCCUUUGGGGGCCGUUGACAGGUGGUGCAUGGCUGUCGUCAGCUCGUGUCGUGAGAUGUUGGGUUAAGUCCCGCAACGAGCGCAACCCUUAUCCUAUGUUGCCAGCGGGUUAUGCCGGGGACUCAUGGGAGACUGCCGGGGUCAACUCGGAGGAAGGUGGGGACGACGUCAAGUCAUCAUGCCCCUUAUGUCCAGGGCUUCUCGCAUGCUACAAUGGCCGGUACAGAGGGCUGCGAUGCCGUGAGGUGGAGCGAAUCUCUUAAAGCCGGUCUCAGUUCGGAUCGGGGUCUGCAACUCGACCCCGUGAAGUCGGAGUCGCUAGUAAUCGCAGAUCAGCAACGCUGCGGUGAUACGUUCCCGGG
rnacentral:rRNA from 1 species